UACGUAGGGUGCAAGCGUUGUCCGGAAUUAUUGGGCGUAAAGAGCUCGUAGGCGGUCUGUCGCGUCUGCUGUGAAAACUCAGGGCUUAACCCUGAGCUUGCAGUGGGUACGGGCAGACUAGAGUGCGGUAGGGGAGACUGGAAUUCCUGGUGUAGCGGUGAAAUGCGCAGAUAUCGAGGAGGAACACCGGUGGCGAAGGCGGGUCUCUGGGCCGUAACUGGACGCUGGAGGAGCGGAAAGCAUCGGGGAGCGAAACAGG
rnacentral:rRNA from 1 species